rnacentral:lncRNA from 1 species
AGAAUGAGAGACCAUGCAACUCCAAUCCCCAGCAGACUGAAUGAAGCACAAGAGUGAUUAAGCUUCGCUUGGGAUUGGCUAAAGGGGAAUCUGAAGGUGUGCUGAGAUUCUGGCUGUUGACCACUUGGGAUGUUACUGUGCACUGGACACACACAAACUGAUGGAACUGAGGGGAUCCUUUACCUUGAAGAGUUGUUAAGCUCUCAUAGGAAGCCUUGGUGAUCCAUCUAAACUAUUCACUCUACUGGGCAGUUCUAGUGUUGAUUCUGACAUUAUUUGGCACUCAUCCGAAAAUACAUGCAGAAGAUGUGAAAAAGCCGGGCAAUCUACUAGGUAUACGUCGGAAUGUAUGGAAAAUUCUGAAAACAGCAAUGACUCAGACAAGGAUCAUGGAUGGAACUGGAGGCCAUUAUCCUUAACAAAGUUAUGCAGGAACAGAAAACCGAAUACUGCAUGUUCUCACUUAUAAGUAGGAGCUAAAUGGUAAGAACACAUGGACACAGAGGGAAACAACAGACACUGGGGCCUAUCUGAGGGUGGAGGGUUGGGGAGGACAGGACAAGGAAAAAUUACUAAUGGGUACUAGGCUUAACACCUGAGUGAUGAAAUAAUAUGUACAACAAACCCCUGUGACAUGAAUUUAACU